GGGCGUUUGGCACAGUGGUAGCGCGCCUGCUUUGCAUUUGAGCGGGGUUCUUCCUUGGAAGCCUGUACAGUGGCAAUUUGCAUGAGGUCGUGGGUUCAAGCCCCACAACGUCCA